CACAAUGAAAAUCAGAAUAUUUCUAAAAAAUAGUUAAAAAUAACUUCUAAACAAUUAUAUCUAAUCCAAACUAUAUUAACAUUAUUAUUAACAUAACAUGCAAAUUGUCAAGUUCAAUAGUUCGUCAUAUAACAAUCACAGUUCUCAUUUUGGAAGUUCAUUUAUGAAUUUUCAUAGAUUGGUUUUAAUAUCGGUACCAAUGCUGCGGAUUUUUAAACAGCUAAUUAUUAGCGAGGAUAGAAAUGAAUUGAAUGACACUAAGAUUAUUAAAAUUUGUCUAGUAGAACGAAUUUUAUGGUGUUUAAAGUAAGGGGUAAACCUAUUAAUACAAGUCAUGCAUGAUUUCAAUGGUCCAUUGCGUGAUCCAGACUUUAUUUUAAAUCAGCCAACAGAUUAUUGACUCUACGAGACCACUUUUAAUAAUCUUAGGAUCAAAAUUCAUGUCUUAAAUUCAAUGUUCCAUGUCUACUCGGAAUUUGACUAAACACUAUCGUGCAGCAGAUGAUGAUCAACCUGCAGUUAGCAGAGUGAGAAAAUAAUUUGAGUUGUUUUCAUUGAAUGAAACUGUGUUUUUGAGGCGAAUGAAUAGAAUUAAGAGACGUAGUUUAAUUUAUUUCUGCUAUAAGUAUGAACAUUUGUGAAGUUGACGAGCAUCUACUGCACUGUAACGCUUACGCACUGAUAGUCUUCUGUCAAUGUCUCUAUCACUAUUCGUAUGAGAUUUUGAAAAUUAUAUUGAUGCCAUGCAAAUCUACAUACAAGUUGAGUUUUAUUAAACAUUUACAUACCAUACUUCCUACAGUCUAUGUUACUAUAUAUACACUAUAUUUACAUUCCACAAUAUUUUGUUAAGUUAUAAAAGGCAAGAUUACAAUAUUAAGUUUUCUAUUCACAUGAUUACAAAACCUCGAAAAUGUUGAUGUAAAAUGUAUGUUGUAAACCGUAUCUUAAAACUAGUUUCGAGGUUUCACUACAGCUGUUGCGCGAUAUCUUUUCUCUUUCAUUCCUGGCAGUUCUUUCCACUGAUCAUCUCCCAUUGUGAAACUUUCUACUGAGUUGAGAUGUCCCUCCUCCUUAUUAUAUCCUCCCAAUACAACAAUGACGUCAUGCAUGAUGACAGCUGAAGGACCACUCCUCUUGUGUUUCAGUGAAGGUAAUCUUUCACUUCGCCCAGAUUCAGUGUGAUACAUGAUGACGUCAUUUAAAACCUGCCCAUUCUUAUCCAA
rnacentral:lncRNA from 1 species